GCAGCCUAGGCUUCUCCUCUUGCUGCCGCUGCUCCUCUCAACCAGCUGCCACUGCUGCCAGUUCUUCCAAGCCCCUGCUAAGAUGGGCAGCAUCGCCCACGAGCCUGCCAUGGCGCCCAAUGAACAGCAGGAGCCCAAGGAGCUGGAGCACACUGAACACCGAGCCCCAGUCAAGCGGGACUACUACCAUCGAAUCUUUGUGAACCGGAGCCUCGCACUGGAGAAGAUCAAAUGCUUUGGCUUCGAUAUGGACUAUACAUUAGCAAUGUACAAGUCCCCUGACUAUGAAGAGCUGGCAUUUGAACUGUUGCUGGAGCGGCUGGUGUCCAUCGGAUACCCCCAUGAGAUCCUGGAGUAUAAAUAUGACCCCACUUUCCCUACCAGGGGCCUGGUCUUUGAUUCCCUGUAUGGGAAUUUGCUGAAGGUGGAUUCCCAUGGGAACCUUCUGGUGUGUGCACAUGGCUUCCACUUCCUCAAGGGGGCUGACAUCUGGAAUUAUUACCCCAACAAGUUCAUCCAGAGGGAUGACAUGAAGCGAUUCCACAUUCUAAACACUUUAUUUAACUUGACAGAAACCUACCUCUGUGCCUGCCUGGUGGAUUUCUUCACCAGCUGCUCCAGAUACGUGAAUUGCGACACUGGUUACAAACACGGCAAUCUCUUCAUGUCCUUUCGCAGCAUUUUCCAAGAUGUGAGAGAAGCCAUGGACUACGUGCACCUCUCGGGCUGCCUCAAGGAGAAGACCUUGGAGAAGCUGGAGAAGUAUGUGGUGAAAGAUCCACGCGUUCCUCUCCUGCUGAGUCGUAUGAAGGAGGUGGGGAAGGUGUUCCUUGCCACCAACAGUGACUACAACUACACAGAUGCAAUAAUGACAUACUUGUUUGACUUCAGUGAAGACGAUGCGCAGGAGGAAUCCCAGCACCGCUCCUGGCGCUCCUGUUUUGAUGUGAUUGUCGUUGACACGCGCAAGCCGCUUUUCUUUGCUGAGGGAACUGUUCUGCGACAGGUCAAUACGGACACAGGGAAACUGCGGAUUGGCACCUACACAGGACCGCUUCAACACUGUGCUGUCUUCUCUGGAGGCUCCUCGGACCUGGUGUGUGAUCUGUUGGGAGUCAAGGGCAAGGACAUCCUCUACAUUGGAGAUCACAUAUUUGGGGAUAUCCUCAAAUCCAAGAAGAGGCAGGGGUGGCGUACCUUCUUGGUGGUGCCGGAACUGGCCAAGGAGCUGCAAGUGUGGACGGAGAAAAGUGAACUCUUUGAGGAGCUGCGAAGUCUGGAUGUAUUCCUGGCAGAGUUGUACCAACACCUGGACAGCGGAAGCAAUGAGCGCCCAGACAUCAGCUCCAUCAAGAAGCGGAUACAGAAAGUCACCCACGAAAUGGACAUGUGCUAUGGGAAGAUGGGCAGCCUCUUCCGCUGUGGCUCCCGCCAGACGCUCUUUGCCAAUCAGCUGAUGCGCUACGCGGAUCUCUAUGCCGCCUCCUUCAUUAACUUCCUGUAUUACCCUUUCAGUUACCUUUUCCGGGCACCAUCGACCCUGAUGCCUCAUGAAUCAACUGUGGAGCACAUACAGGUGGAGCACAGUGAGGCAAGAUCCCUCACAGGACAUCGGAUGCACCAACCCAGGAAGCAGGUUAGCAGCUGGAGGCUGCAAGUGGCUAGAAGAGUUUGCUCAUAAAAGAAGAGAAGCGCCACUGGCAAACUCCAUGCAGGGACCAGUGUCAAAGCAGAUGAACUCACAUCGGAGGGUCUCCUCAGAAAUUGCUUGACAACAUUGAGAGAGAAAAGAGAGAUUUCUAAAGGGCAAUGAAACAUCAAGAUUAUCAUGAGAAGGCCCAGAGUGUUUCCCAGGAGGUCAAUGGCAAUGAGGAUGAUGACAACUGAAUCACCGGCCCAUCCCCAAAAUCUGAUGGUGAACAGAAACCUGCUGGUGGCAAAUUACUGUAGGGUCUCUGCCUUCGGCUACUAGAAUGAAGGCUUCUGAAAUGGAGCAAUGAACCCACCCACCCUCCCACUCUACAAGCAAGCCUCUCCCUGUGAAGAUCCCCAAUUUCUAGAGGUCGGCCAAGGGUUCCACACAGGUUCCCAGCCGGUCAAGCGGAACUGUUACUUCGGAGGAAGAACCCCAGCCUCGGACCGGUCUUUGCUACUUUCUGAUUCAGGACAUGAUCUUCUACAGUGUUUGAUUAUUAUUCAGCGCUGUGACUGCUUUUAUAUCCUACUUGUUUGCUUUUUUCUGUGCCUGCCUUCUUGUUCUUGUUUUGCGACCACUUGCUACUGGUCGUGGCCGGGCUUGCUCUGGUUAAUGCUGUCCUUCGCUUGUUUUACUUCUCUGGCUUCUUGCUAUUUCUCUCUCCUCAUUUUCUUCUCUCAAUUCUUUUCUCCUCAUAUCCGUUCCUUAUGGCUCGUUCCAUUUUCGUUUCUCCCAACUUAGUUCCUAUUCGGUGUCUCCCCUCUUCUCAGCUGCCUUUUUCGUGUUCCUUAUGGAACUGUCGCUCUGUUGCUUCUAAGGCCCCUGUCAUUCAGGACUUGUUUAUCUCUAGGUCUCUCCACCUCCUUGCUCUUACUGAAACCUGGCUUCCUGCCCAUGAUACCGCCAUCUCGGCUGCCCUCUCUCUUGGAGGACUCUCUUUCUCUCGCACCAGUCGCCCAGAGGGUGGUGGUGGUGGUGUGGGUCUUUUAUUAUCUAGUUUGUGCCAGUUCCAGCCUCUUUCCAUUCCACCUUCACAUUGUUUUUCCUCCUUUGAGGCACAUGUGGUGAGGCUCUUCGCUCCAUUGCGACUGCGGAUUGCAGUUCUGUACCGCCCCCCAGGCUCAUCCUCAAAAUUUAUCUCUGAUUUUGAUUCAUGGCUGUCCUUUUUCCUCUCUGAUAACUGUCCUACUCUUAUCUUGGGUAAUUUCAAUAUUCAUGUGGAUGACCCUCAAGACGCUGCAGCUCUACAUUUUCUCUCAUUAUCUUCCUCUUAUGAUCUUAAGCUUUUGUCUGAUGCACCCACACAUUCCCUUGGACACUGUUUGGAUCUUGUUCUCACUCGGAAUUGCUCUGUUUUGGACUUUUCUACUGCUGACUUUCCUUUGUCAGAUCAUCAUCUAGUUUCUUUCAUGAUUACUCAUAAUCCUCCUCCUUCACAUCCCGUUUCUCGCUCUUGUCGUGAUUUGCAAUCUAUCAAUUAUGAGGCUUUUUCUCAGUCUCUAGCCUCCUCUCUUCCUUCUGUCUUUUCUGCUGUCUCCUUGGACUCAGCUGUCUCUUUCUUUAACUCCUCCUUAUCUUCAACUCUUGAUAAUCUUGCUCCAUCUACAACUCAGAUAGUUCGUCCUUCUCAACCCCAACCGUGGCUCGCCUCUUUCCUCCGCUACCUUCGUUCUUGUUCCCGGGCAGCUGAACGCCUUUAGCGUAGGACCAGGGACUGGGCGGACUUUGUCCAUUACAAAUUUGUUCUCUCCUCUUUCUCUUCUGCUAUUUCAUUGGCCAAACAGCAGUAUUACUCAAUGUUGAUCCAGACAAAUGCUACGUAUCCUCAGCGGCUCUUUGCGUCCUUCAAUUCUCUUCUGAAGCCUAAUCCACCAUCUCUCCCCGCCUCUCUGUCUGCUAAUAACUUUGCCUCUUUUUUCAAUGCUAAAAUCCAAACUAUUCGCUCUGAUCUUGCCAGCUCUGCUCCUCUUCCAGUUCCUGUUCCUCAUCUGUCAGUUCCUCCUGCAAAUUUCUCUGCAUUUCCUUCGGUCUCAGCUGAUGAACUGUCUACAAUACUGCACUCUUCGAAGCCUUCCACUUGUUCUCGUGAUCCGAUUCCUUCUCAGGUCUUUAUUAAUCUUAUCCCUGCUAUCCUCCCUUCCUUGCUUCAUAUUAUUAAUUUUUCUUUGUCCUCUGGUUCAUUUCCUUCUGCUUUUAAACAUGCUACAGUCUCUCCUAUUCUCAAGAAACCUACUCUUGAUGUGCUUUCUCUGUCUAACUACCGACCUGUCUCUUUGUUGCCUUUUGUUUCAAAGAUCCUGGAGCAUGUGGUCUACUCUCGUUGUCUUGAUUUUCUUUCUAGUAACUCUGCUCUGGAUCCUUUUCAAUCUGGAUUCCGUCCUUUGCAUUCCACUGAAACAGCCCUUACUAAGAUUACCAAUGAUCUUAUUACCAAGUCUAAAGGCCUUUAUUCCGUUCUUAUUCUCCUUGAUCUAACUGCAGCCUUUGACAUGGUUGAUCACGAUCUUCUUUUGGAUUCCCUUCAUGACCUCGGAUUUUGUGGCUCCGUCUAUAACUGGUUUGCCUCCUAUCUAGCGGGUCGCUCUUUCAACGUGUUGGCUAAUGGCAGCUCGUCUUCUACUUUUCCCCUUUCAGUAGGGGUUCCGCAAGGCUCGGUGCUUGGCCCGUUGUUGUUUUCUUUAUACAUGUUGCCCUUGGGUAAUCUUAUUCAAUCU